CGCAACCUGAACUCAGACGUGAUUACCCGCUGAACUUAAGCAUAUCAUUU
rnacentral:rRNA from 1 species